rnacentral:tRNA from 1 species
GCCGCGGUGGUGAAAUUGGUAGACACACUAGCUUCAGGUGUUAGCGCUUCACGGCGUGGGGGUUCGAGUCCCCCCCUCGGCACCA